CCUCAACCACCUCUUAUGUGUCUUGGAGUUUGAGGGAGGUGCAGUAGAGGAGAAGGCCUGAGUGACCCUUCAAACCCUAACGCUAAUUAAGAAAAACAUAAUAAUCAUCGGGUUCCAUGACGGGAUCAUAGCCCUUAUUGAAAUCUAUGGCACAAGAAUGCCUUCGGUCAAGCCAUCAUCACUAUAGUGCUUAAGAACCUCGUAAUAGUUCAAGAAAUCCGAUAAAACUUUCUAGAAAAUAAUGGUGUCCUUGUCUAACGAGAAUUCGUUGUAGUCGACUAGCAAAAUUUAAUUUGAGUAAAAAAAAAAAAAAAAAAAUAAAAAUCAUCAUUUUGCCUAUCGAUUUAGUGUUAAUAUCAUGUGCAACUUUUUCUAUCAGUAUAAUAAAUGAUGUUAACAAAUUAAAAUAAAUUAUUUUACUUUCAUAAAUCCCCGUCUAAAUUUCUGAAGUACAUAUACCGCAGUACUAAAAAGGUCAAUGAUCCCACCCCAUGUCAUAAUUACGAAUCCCCUCUCCAUCUCAGACUAUAAAAAUGUAAGCAAUUCCCGCGAUCGAGCGCUUCUCCUCUUCAGCCAUUUUUAGCGUUCUGGACUUCCCCUAGGGUUUCCUUCUUCCACCCUCCUCUUCAGAAGGGUGAUCUAGAUCCAGGAGCACUUCGAGAAUAUUUAUCUGGGUGUUUUUGAGGAGCUAAGCAAGUUCGGAAAAAUUGAAAGCCUAAAUGUUUGUGACAAUCUGGCUGAUCAAUUUGGUAUUCGACAUCCAAGAUGUUGGUAAUGUAUAUGUUAAAUUCAGGGAUGAGGAUGAUGCUGCAAAUAUACUAGUCAACCUGAAAGGAAGAUAUUAUGAUGGUGGUUUAAUAUUUAUGUGUUUGAUCUCAUGCUUAAUGCAUUUUGUCUCUUGUUUGUUAGUCUAUUACUUGUAUAUCAUAUAAUCUUUUUCCCUUUUUCACAAAUGGGGAUUCUAUUUGCCGGACAUCCUAUUAUUGUUUAUUUCUCCCCCGUUAAUGGAUUUCCGUGAAGCUACAUGUAGGCAACACAAGGAUAAUAUGCGUGUAACCAAGGUGGAUUCUGCAAUUUUAUUCACUUCAAACAAAUUAGCUGGGAGUUGAGUGUUAAGAUCCUAGGGUUUUAUCAUGGAAGAAAGAGGAGAAAAGAGGAUGAUCACUUCGAGGGGAUCAGUCUCCUUGACUACUUCAAGGGGAUCAGCUUCAUAGGGUUUGUCAAAAAACUUAAUAAUAUUUCAUUAUCCGUCGAAAAGAAACGAUUACAUUA